rnacentral:rRNA from 1 species
UACGUAGGGGGCAAGCGUUGUCCGGAAUCAUUGGGCGUAAAGCGCGCGUAGGCGGCCCGGUAAGUCCGUUGUGAAAGUCAAAGGCUCAACCUUUGAAUGCCGAUGGAUACUGCCGGGCUCGAGUCCGGAAGAGGCGAGUGGAAUUCCUGGUGUAGCGGUGGAAUGCGCAGAUAUCAGGAGGAACACCAAUAGCGAAGGCAGCUCGCUGGGACGGUACUGACGCUAAGGCGCGAAAGCGUGGGGAGCGAACGAGG